UCUGAUCCUCUCUACCUACACCGGAGUGUGGGGAACACAGGCCCUGGGGCCAAAUGUAUCCCUUCAAGAGAGAGAGAGUUUGGAUUUGAUAUCCUGCUUUAUCACUACCCGAAGGAGUCUCAAAGCGGCUAACAUUCUCCUUUCCCUUCCUCCCCCACAACAAGCACUCUGUGAGGUGAGCGGGGCUGAGAGACUUCAGAG